ACCACUUCCGGGAUGGAGCUAGUAGGGAGAAGCAAGCGGCUCUGUCCUCGUUUCUCAGCCCUUUCCGAGGUUUUCUGGAAGACCUCGGGAUGAUCUUCUCCCAGGCUCACCUGUCUUGCAGGCAGUAAAGGCUCCACUUGGGUGCCGCCAAGCCUGAAGGCCCGAGUCUGAGUUCCAGGACCCACAUUGUGUGUGGUAGCUCAUGCUUGUGAUUCCUACACAGAGGCCAGAAAAUCUCUGUGAAUUGGAGGCCAGCCUGGUCUACGUAGACACUUUCAGGCUACCCAGGAUUACACAUUGAGACCCCGUCUUAAACAAAAUAAAAC